UAGAGGAAGUAAAAGUCGUAACAAGGUUUCCGUAGGUGAACCUGCGGAAGGAUCAUUAUUGAAUAAAUCUAAUGGGUUGUAGCUGGCUCUUUUGGAGCAUGUGCACGCCUGUUAUUUUAUCUUCUCCACCUGUGCACUAUUUGUAGACUUGGAUAUUUCUCGAGGAAACUCGGUUAGGAUCUGCUGUGCUCAAAAGGCCGGCUUGUCUUUAUAUUUCCAGUCUAUGUUUUAUAUACACCAUAUCUAUGUUAUUGAAUGUUCAAUYGGCUUUAUAAGCCUAUAAACAUAAAUACAACUUUCAGCAACGGAUCUCUUGGCUCUCGCAUCGAUGAAGAACGCAGCGAAAUGCGAUAAGUAAUGUGAAUUGCAGAAUUCAGUGAAUCAUCGAAUCUUUGAACGCACCUUGCGCUCCCCGGUAUUCCGAGGAGCAUGCCUGUUUGAGUGUCAUUAAAUUCUCAAUCUUUCAGGUUUCUUAAUGAAAUCAGUCAGACUUGGAUGUUGGAGGUAGCAGGCUUCUUAGUCUGCUCCUCUUAAAUGCAUUAGCGGAACCUAACAUUGUCCCAUUUUUGGUGUGAUAAUUAUCUACAUCAUGAAUGCGGUACAAACUUUUGUAGGGUUCGGCUUCUAACAGUCCAUUCACUUGGACAACUCUUGACAAUUUGACCUCAAAUCAGGUAGGACUACCCGCUGAACUUAAGCAUAUCAAUAA
rnacentral:rRNA from 1 species